UACGUGCCAGCAGCCGCGGUAAUACGUAGGGUGCAAGCGUUGCCGGAAUUACUGGGUGUAAAGGGAGCGUAGGCGGCUCUGCAAGUUGGAAGUUUAAUCUAGGGCUCAACCCCUAAUCGCUUUCAAAACUGCAGAGCUUGAGUGAAGUAGAGGUAGGCGGAUUUCCGGUGUAGCGGUGGAAUGCGUAGAUAUCGGAAGGAACACCAGUGGCGAAGGCGGCUACUGGGCUUUAACUGACGCUGAGGCUCGAAAGCGUGGGUAGCAAACAGGAUUAGAUACCUGGUAGUCCAUGCUGUAAACGAUGAUUACUAGGUGUGGGCCGAAAGGUCCGUGCCGCGUUAACACAAUAAGUAAUCCACCUGGGGAGUACGGCCGCAAGGCUGAAACUCAAAGGAAUGACGGGGGCCCGCACAAGCAGUGGAGUAUGUGGUUUAAUUCGAAGCAACGCGAAGAACUUACCAGGUCUUGACAUCGUGCGCAUAACUCAGAGAUGAGUGAAGUCCUUCGGGACGCAAGACAGGUGGUGCAUGGUUGUCGUCAGCUCGUGUCGUGAGAUGUUGGGUUAAGUCCCGCACGAGCGCAACCCUUAUGCUUAGUUACUACGCAAGAGGACUCUAGGCAGACUGCCGUUGCAAAACGGAGGAAGGUGGGGAUGACGUCAAAUCAUCAUGCCCCUUAUGACCUGGGCUACCACGUACUACAAUGGCUGUUAACAAAGUGAACCGAAACCGCGAGGUGGAGGAAACCACAAAAACAGUCUCAGUUCGGAUUGUAGGCUGCAACUCGCCUACAUGAAGCCGGAAUUGCUA
rnacentral:rRNA from 1 species